rnacentral:rRNA from 1 species
GACGAACGCUGGCGGCGUGCUUAACACAUGCAAGUCGAACGGAAAGGCCCUGCUUUUGUGGGGUGCUCGAGUGGCGAACGGGCGAGUAACACGUGAGUAACCUGCCCUUGACUUUGGGAUAACUUCAGGAAACUGGGGCUAAUACCGGAUAGGAGCUCCUGCUGCAUGGUGGGGGUUGGAAAGUUUCGGCGGUUGGGGUUGGACUCGCGGCUUAUCAGCUUGUUGGUGGGGUAGUGGCUUACCAAGGCUUUGACGGGUAGCCGGCCUGAGAGGGUGACCGGCCACAUUGGGACUGAGAUACGGCCCAGACUCCUACGGGAGGCAGCAGUGGGGAAUAUUGCGCAAUGGGCGGAAGCCUGAUGCAGCAACGCCGCGUGCGGGAUGACGGCCUUCGGGUUGUAAACCGCUUUCGCCUGUGACGAAGCGUGAGUGACGGUAAUGGGUAAAGAAGCACCGGCUAACUACGUG